rnacentral:rRNA from 1 species
AGUGAACGCUGGCGGUAGGCCUAACACAUGCAAGUCGAACGGCAGCACAGUAAGAGCUUGCUCUUACGGGUGGCGAGUGGCGGACGGGUGAGGAAUACAUCGGAAUCUACUUUUUCGUGGGGGAUAACGUAGGGAAACUUACGCUAAUACCGCAUACGACCUACGGGUGAAAGCAGGGGAUCUUCGGACCUUGCGCGAUUGAAUGAGCCGAUGUCGGAUUAGCUAGUUGGCGGGGUAAAGGCCCACCAAGGCGACGAUCCGUAGCUGGUCUGAGAGGAUGAUCCGGCACACUGGAACCGGGAAACGGUCCAGACUCCUACGGGAGGCAGCAGUGGGGAAUAUUGGACAAUGGGCGCAAGCCUGAUCCAGUCAUACCGCGUGGGUGAAGAAGGCCUUCGGGUUGUAAAGCCCUUUUGUUGGGAAAGAAAAGCAGCAGGUUAAUACCCCGCUGUUCUGACGGUACCCAAAGAAUAAGCAACGGCUAACUUCGUG